CGGGCAUAGCUCAAUUGGUAGAGCAUCAGCUUUCCAAGCUAAGGGCCGCGGGUUUGAGUCCCGUUGCCCAUCCA
rnacentral:tRNA from 1 species